GCCUUCCAACUCAGUUCAGCUGGUUGAGUUGCAUAACCAUGACCCUUUGCCUGCUGCUCCUUGACAGUUAUUUAAUAACAUGUGACGAGAGAUUCCCGCUGAUCGCUCCCAAAUAGUAAAAUAACACAAAUAACUAGGAAUUAAAAACUUGCACAAUAAGCAAAACGUCCACCCUAAAACAUGACAAAUAGAUCUGUAACUUCCCUAAAAGGGAAAACUUGAGUAUGACGGAGUGACUCGGACUGGACGAGUCCUCACACCCACCCCCCGCUGAUUGGACGGAGUUGGUUUGGUCCUUCAUGGCGUAAAGUUUCCUUCCGCAUUGAGUCCAGUCCGAGUCCAACACAAAGAGGAGAGCAGCAGCGCUGAGCGCCAAGAUGGCCGACAUGGACCCAGAGACCGCCACCAACACUGCAGGCGAAGAGGAGCCUCUCUUCAGCAACCUGGACCUCUUCCUCUUCUCUCUGAUUGUGGGCCUCGUCAUUUAUUGGUUCAUGUCCCGCAAGCAGCCGGAGCCCAUCCCCGAGUUUAAGAAGC